AACGAACGCUGGCGGCAUGCCUAACACAUGCAAGUCGAACGAGAUCUUCGGGUCUAGUGGCGCACGGGUGCGUAACGCGUGGGAAUCUGCCCUUUGGUUCGGAAUAACAGUUGGAAACGACUGCUAAUACCGGAUGAUGACGAAAGUCCAAAGAUUUAUCGCCAGAGGAUGAGCCCGCGUAGGAUUAGCUAGUUGGUGUGGUAAAGGCGCACCAAGGCGACGGUCCUUAGCUGGUCUGAGAGGAUGACCAGCCACACUGGGACUGAGACACGGCACGGACUCCUACGGGAGGCAGGAGUGGGGAAUAUUGGACAAGGGGCGAAAGCCUGUUCCAGCAAUGCCGCGUGAGUGAUGAAGGCCUUAGGGUUGUAAAGCUCUUUUACCCGGGAUGAUAAUGACAGUACCGGGAGAAUAAGCUCCGGCUAACUCCGUGCCAGCAGCCGCCGUAA
rnacentral:rRNA from 1 species